UGCGUGUUAGGCGUCGGGUAUAAGAGUCCCUGCGCGGCUUACGUUGGCCUCUUUGUCCUGCGGGAUGUCGGCUGUGAGCUCGUGCUAUGUGGGGGCCAGCAUGCUGGGCGGACAGGAGAGCAUCAUGCGACUUGUGGCGGUGACCUGAAGACUUCCCUGGGGAGCUGAGUGUGAUGGAUUCUGAUUUAUGGAGGAUGGGGCUAGUGAACUGCACAAUAGCAGAUCGACCCUGGUGACUUCUGAUGCUAAUUAGCCAGUCUUGUCUGAUACAUGACCUCCAGCAGGUGAUGCACUGAAACGAAACGCCUCCUCUUGUCUUCAAUGGGAGUCUGUCUCUGCCUAUGUGGCUGAGGAUUUUAUAUAAAAAAAAUUGAGAUGGUGAUGGCACCUUGUCUGCGGGGCCUGUGCUCUACAUGAGUAGUGAUGGCGCUAAUCUGUAGAGGAUGGGAUCAUGUUGCCAGACCUGAGCAGUGAUGGCGCUAAUCUGUAGAGGAUGGGAUCAUGUUGUCAGACAUGAGCAGUGAUGGCGUCUAAUCUCUGCAGGGGAGGGUCUGCUGCCAGACAUGAUCGGCAAAUCUAUCAUGGACAGAUUAUGAACAAUGGAAGACCUGGUCCUCAGAUAACCCUGAUAUGUCUGUGGCCCCUGAGGCAGACUGCAGAUGUAUUUCCUUCACUCAUGGGGUAGGGGGCAGUCCUGUCUGGUUGCUGCUAUGCUGCCCUCUGCUGGAAUCUGAAUAAACAAAUUGUUUAUGCAAACUG